GAUGAACGCUGGCGGCGUGCCUAAUACAUGCAAGUCGAGCGAACAGACGAGAAGCUUGCUCCUCUGACGUUAGCGGCGGACGGGUGAGUAACACGUGGAUAACCUACCUAUAAGACUUGGAUGACUUCGUGAAACCGGAUCUAAUACCGGAUAAUAUGUUGAACCGCAUGGUUCAAUAGUGAAAGACGGUUUUGCUGUCACUUUUAGAUGGAUCCGCGCCGCAUUAGCUAGUUGGUAAGGUAACGGCUUACCAAGGCGACGAUGCGUAGCCGACCUGAGAGGGUGAUCGGCCACACUGGAACUGAGACACGGUCCAGACUCCUACGGGAGGCAGCAGUAGGGAAUCUUCCGCAAUGGGCGAAAGCCUGACGGAGCCACGCCGCGUGAGUGAUGAAGGUCUUCGGAUCGUAAAACUCUGUUAUUAGGGAAGAACAAAUGUGUAAGUAACUAUGCCCGUCUUGACGGUACCUAAUCAGAAAGCCACGGCUAACUACGUG
rnacentral:rRNA from 1 species